GUAGACUGGACAGAGACAACUGGCUUUCACAAUGAUCAGACCUGAUUAUCUAGUGGUUUUUCUCAUCCUGUCAAUUUACUCUGCAGGUACUGAGGGUCAAACACUGACUGAGUCUGAACCAGCGGUUAAAAAGCCUGGAGAGUCCCACAGACUGACCUGCACAUAUUCAGGGUUUAGUAGUAAUAUUGAUACUGCUUGGAUCAGACAAGCUGCUGGAAAAGGACUGGAGUGGGUUGCUACUAUCAGUGAUAGCAGUAGCAGCAUCUACUACUCUGAGUCAGUGAAAGGCAGGUUCACCAUCUCCAGAGACAACAACAGACAGCAGGUGUAUCUGCUGUAUCUGCAGAUGAACAGUCUGAAGGCCGAGGACACAGCAGUGUAUUACUGUGCCAGAGACACACAGUGAGAGACAGUAACAGGAGAGUCGUACAAAAACGACUUCCUCUAUUUACCACCACCCAUGAGAGCAUUCACUUUAAAUUGAAAUACUGAAUAUUGACAUUCUAUUUUAUA